GUGAAUCAUCGAAUUUUUGAACGCAAAUUGCACUCUCUUCGGAGAGGAUGCCUGUUUGAGUUUCAGCCUAAAAAAAAUCAACAUUGUUUCUGUUUCGUGGUGAUCUUCGUCGGAAAUUGGGUCAUCUUAAACCUUUGGUUUUUAAGCGGCUUAAAAUUUUCUUUACGAUUCCACGAACGUAUCUAAGUUUUUACUUCUUACACUGUGAAGUUAUCGAUCUGUAUUGGUCGU
rnacentral:misc_RNA from 1 species